rnacentral:rRNA from 1 species
CUCGUAGGUGGCCAACUAAGUCAGACGUGAAAUCCCUCGGCUUAACCGGGGAACUGCAUCUGAUACUGGAUGGCUUGAGUUUGGGAGAGGGACGCGGAAUUCCAGGUGUAGCGGUGAAAUGCGUAGAUAUCUGGAGGAACACCGGUGGCGAAGGCGGCGUCCUGGACCAACACUGACACUGAUGAGCGAAAGCCAGGGGAGCAAACG